CUGAUGGUGGCUGGCGGUGCCGCCAGGUCAGUGCUGUGUACCGACGCACUCCUGUGGACAAGGCCGACCUUGGGGAUAUGGGUCAUGGCCAGCCGGGCGCUGCAGAACUCAGAGGGGACAGAAGUGUGGUGGAGAGUCGCAGGAGGGUCUGGCGGUCGGACCCGCAGCUGCUGGCGCAGUUCUACCACGCGGACGAGGAGCUGAGCCAGGUGGCGGCCGAGCUGGACAGUCUGGACGGGCGGAAGGACCCCCAGCGCUGCACGCUGCUCGUCAGCCAGUUCCGCUCCUGCCAGGACAACGUGUUAAACAUCAUUAACCAGAUCAUGGAUGUGUGCAUCCCCCAGGACCGCGCCCCACGGGAUUUCUGUGUCAAGUUCCCCGAGGAAAUCCGGCACGACAACCUGGCCGGCCAGCUCUGGUUUGGCGCCGAGUGCCUGGCCGCUGGCUCCAUCAUCAUGAACCGCGAGCUGGAGAGCAUGGCCAUGCGGCCGCUGGCCAAGGAGCUGACCCGCAGCCUGGAGGACGUGCGCGGCGCCCUCCGCGACCAGGCGCUGCGGGACCUCAACACCUACACGGAGAAGAUGCGGGAGGCGCUGAGGCACUUCGACGUGUUGUUCGCAGAGUUUGAGCUGAGCUACGUGUCGGCCAUGGUGCCCGUGAAGUCCCCGCGGGAGUACUACGUGCAGCAGGAGGUCAUCGUGCUGUUCUGUGAGACGGUGGAGAGGGCCCUGGACUUCGGGUACCUGACCCAGGACAUGAUUGAUGACUACGAGCCAGCCCUCAUGUUCACCAUCCCCAGGUUGGCCAUCGUGUGUGGCCUCGUGGUCUACGCGGAUGGACCCCUGAACCUGGACCGCAAGGCAGAGGACAUGUCCGAGCUCUUCCGGCCCUUCCACACGUUGCUGCGGAAAAUCAGGGAUUUGCUGCGGACCCUGACCGAGGAGGAGCUUCACACGCUGGAACGGAACCUCUGUAUUUCCCAAGACGUGGAGUUCCCCAUCCGGGCGGACACCCCGGUGCCCCCUGCCCUGGAGCCCGCCCUGCCCGCACCCCUCGGCCCGGCGGAGCCCAGGCACGCAGAGGCGGAGCUGGCGUGCUCCGUGCAGGACGACGACCAGGAGCUGGAGCAGCUCAGCCGAAUGGUGCACAGGGCUGGGGACGCGAUGUCCUCUCUCCUGUCCCCGCCCAAUGCCUGCCAGUCCCCCGCGCACGGGCCGGGCGCCGAGCGCGGUGCCCUCGGGCAGGCAUCCCCGGGCGGACCACGGCUGCCGCCGGGCAGCGACGAAGAGGAGGGGAGGGUGUUCUUCAUGGAGGAUGUGGACGGGGCGGCAGAGCCCCCGGGCGGCCGGUGUGGGCGGGCGGGCGGCCCCCAGGAGAGAGGGCGGGGCGGGGAGAGCCGAGGGGCGGGGGCCGGAGCAGCCGCCGCAGCCGAGACGGAGGACCUGAGCGGCAGCACCGGCGUGCAGGGCGACCAGACACGGGCAGUGGGCCCUGGCUCCUGCAGCUGCCCGGACUCCCAGCCGCAGCUGGACGGCUGGGAGGCGAGUGCGGAGGACGCCCAGACGGCCGAGCUAAUCGCCCACCGGACGGGGGGCAUGAAGCUCUCGGCCACGGUCAUCUUCAACCCCAAGUCGCCCAGCUCCCUGGACUCUGCCCUCGCCAACCCAGAAGUCCUCGGAGACGGCGUCUCCCCGGGGGAGCCGGCGGCCGAGGGGACGGAGGGCGGCCCCCACAAACUCAGCGCCACGGCUGCCAACAGCCUUCUGAACUCCUGCGUGUGCUGCAGGGGCUGUGCGGGCAGCAGGGAGGACGCGGCGGAGAGCCUGCGCGGCAAGUGCGGCUCGGGAAGCGUCAUCCGCUCCUCUUACGUGGGCUCCGCCAAGGCCUGCGCCAAGGGCUCGGCCGCGGGGCUGCUGGAGGUCCGGCCUGACCCGGAGGCCUUGCCCACGGCGCUGGGCGUCCCAGACCCCGGGCCCUCUGAAGACGCCCCCGGCGGGCAGGAGCCCAAAGCCCCCACUUCCGACAAGUGCCUGGCACACACCUCAGGGCCCCAGGUGGACGCGGCAGACGGGCUGCCUGGAGGGGGCGGCGGAGCGAGUGAGCAAAAGGAGGCUGAGGCCCGGCAGCCCUCGGAGGCCGGGGAGGAGAGUCGGCGUGGAGGGGCGGCCGGGGAGGAGGCCCAGCACCUGCCGGGCUCCAGGUUCAAGCCCAACAUCAUAAUGUCCAGCGGAAUGAAUUCUUGUCCACAACCUAAGGAGCGGCUUCCUCCCUCAGGGCCUCCAGCUCAGUGGCCCAGAGUUGAUUGGUGACAGUCAGUGAACACUUACUCUGUCUGGAACCCCCUCCUGCUUUCCUGACGUGUCCCGCCGUGGACACUGCUUGUUCACGUCAGGCCGGCAGCUUCCCAGGCCUCCUCUGGCUUAGCACAAAUGCAGAAGCUGAGCUGAGAAAAGGAAACAGCCUCCGUGGAGGCCUCGGGAGACGCUCCCAUCUCCCAGGGAAGCAUUUCCACAAGGUGCAGAGGGUCUGAGGGUGGCCAGGGGAUCAGGGCAGCCAGGCCUUUGGGCCAGGACCGUGGACAGCGGCGCCCGGGGCCCAGCACUGCGCCAGGAGCAGCUGAGAAUCAGGUCAGCAGGUGGCGCCCGUGCCCUCCGCGGGCAGCGCAGACAUGGGGAGCGUCAUCCCUUCGCAUCGCACGUGGGUUCCUGGGUGGCUGAGCAGGGUGCGGGGGAGGCGGCCCAACCUUGCAGAGCGUGAUCUAACACGAAUGGAGGGGCAAAAGCAACCUGUUGAAACAGACAGACACAGAAGCCCAGCCUCACACAGGCAGCAAGUUCACCGGAACUCGGACGGCGAGAUCCCGGGCGUUGGUUGGCGUUGUUAGUAUCAUCUGUGCGCAGCCUCCCAUGAACACAGCCAGGCUUGUGUCGGGUGCAGGUGACCCCCCGCCCCUGGCAGACGGAGAGACGGACCCCGGAGAGGCUGGCACCCGCCGUGGCUCGAAGUGCCUAGAGGGGCUGGCAUCACUCUUGACCCGCCUGAGCGAGAGCCCGUCUGUCUGGUGACGUGCUUGGUCAUCACUCGGCCGUGACGAGCCAACAUCCUGAGCUGACCAUGAGGCUGCCUGUCCAGCAGGUCCCCCUGUGGCCCCUGCCAUGCGCGGGAGUAGGAGUGACCGCGUGUGUGGCCCCGUGCGUGAGUCAGACGGGUGCAGCCUCAGACCUCUGUGCCACCUUUGAGUCGGGUGCCAUGAAGGGGACGCACCAAGCCGUGACCACGAGUCUGCUUUUGGGGCCAUGUUCCCCGAGGACGCCUGGAGUGUCACCUCCCACACAAGCAGCGCACAGCCUCCAGGUGGAAGGACGGGGCUGCCGGGGUACGGCGCAGGCCGGAGGUGGGUCCUGGAGCAAGGGCCCGGGCGGGAAGAGCCCUGCACGUUCCCCCAGGCCCUGUCUUCAGCCGCACGCAGGCCGGUUCCAGCCGUGCUGUUGCCCGGGGUAGGGGACGUCGCCCCAGCACAGUCGUGGGCAGAAUGUUUCAGAACCCAGUGUCCUUCAGAUCUUUUCUUUCUUACCUUUUCCGUGCUUGAAGAUUAACCUUUUUUGGGGAAAACUUAGCAUUUUUAAAAGCUUCCUGUUUUUUGCCUAGACUCACCUCAUCAGUCAGAACUGUCCACACUCUCGAGGCUGGCAGGAGCGCUCACUUGUCUAGAGGACGGAAACUCGCCCCCUCUUGGGUCUUUUACUAAAGUGAGUUUCCAACCUUCUUGAAAAAAUAACACUGACUCUUGCUUUUUUCUAAUUACAAUUGUGGUCCCCACUCAUUGUAGAAACUUAUGAAAACAUAAAGAAGAGUAAAAGAAGGAAAUAAAAACCAUUCCAAAUCUGAACUUUUCAUCAUCCCAGACUGAAACUCUGUCCCCACUCAAGCCCCCUUCCCCAGCAGCCGGCACCCACCAUCUGCUUUCUGUCUCUGUGAAUGUGACUCCUCCAGGGACCUCACGUAAGCGGAGUCACACGGUGUUUGUCCUUUUGUGACCGGCUUCUGUCACUGGGCCUAAUGUCCUACAGGUGCGUCCAUAUGGUAGCUGGUGUCAGAAUUUUCUUCCGUGUUAAGGCUGGAUAAUAUUCCAUCGUAUGGAGGGACCACGUUUUGUGUAUCCAUCAUCUGUUGACGGGCACUUGGGUUGUUUCCCCUUGGGCUCUUGUGAAUAACGCUGCUGCAAAUAGUGUGUGUAAAUAUUUGCUUGGGCUCCUGCUUCCCAGUCUUUUGGGUGAGGCUGUGAACUGAGACUGGGGGCGUUGAUGGAAGCUGACACCCCAGACAGUGAUGUUGCAUCCCCCUUCUUUACUCAGCUCCCAGGACAGGGGCCGCCAAGUCCACACCCCCCAGGCAGAAAGUCAAGGGCUUCGUCUCUGGAAACCUGGCAGGGGGUCUGGGAGGGCAGAGCUGUAGAUCAUCACAAGGGUCCCAGCCUCGCCCUCAGCCUCCCACC